UAAAUCUUGAUAUAACUAAUGGGCUAUCCCACCCAAUGUGAUGAGAAAUUUCAAUUGUAAAGGGAUAGAGAAAGUAAAGUUUAUUCUACAAAACCACAGUUACCUGUGACAAUAGAACCAUCCGUAAAAAGCUGAAAUGGAUAGGCCAUGUAAGUUCAAAGAGCACGCUAUCUCCAAGUCUGGUCUCCAUUGGAAUUUAUGCUUACUGUUCCUUGUAUUGAGCGGUGGUGGUGCUAAUUGUUGCAUGAGCUAACGGUGGUUGAUGCAUCGUGGUCAACUCAAUACUUUGCUUCUAGAGGUUUCAUAUUGCUACUAAAAGCUUUUGAAUGAGGGCAAUCUGGAUAAACGACAUCUAACAUGGCUCUAGAUGCAGCUGUUUUUCUCGGUUUGGCUUGCUUUGUAUUAUGCCAAGGCAAUGCGUCGAACAGAUUAAGUGCAUAAUAUUAAGCCUGAAAUAUGCGCUGGAAAAGAUUUCCUUAAUCAUCUACCAAAGAAUGUCCUCUCCCAAACAUUCUUCAACUAGACUGAUUUUAUAAUGAUUUGGGCACGACCAGUCUCCAAACGACAAAAUGGUAAUAAACCCACGAGCUCAUGGUGAAAAAUCGGUGGCAAGUGAUGACUAUACUGUUCCAAAAGGAUGAGAUCUUGAAUAUUGGUAAGAUAAUAAACAAAUGAUUAUGGCUCCUUUUUCUUUCAAUUUAGACUUUUGGAAAUUAAUAGAAGUCUG
rnacentral:lncRNA from 1 species